rnacentral:misc_RNA from 1 species
UGGCUCUCGCAUCGAUGAAGAACGCAGCGAAAUGCGAUAAGUAAUGUGAAUUGCAGAAUUCAGUGAAUCAUCGAAUCUUUGAACGCACCUUGCGCUCCUCGGUAUUCCGUGGAGCAUGCCUGUUCGAGUGUCACGUUAAACCUCACCCCUGUGGCUUUCUCUGAUCGUCGCCGGAGGUGGACUUUGGACCGUGCCGGUUACUACGGCUCGUCCUGAAAUACAUUAGCCGGUGCUGCUUAGGGUGCUCGUGGCUAGCGGUGUGAUAAUUAUCUGCGCCGUGACCUGCCUCCGACCCUUCUGUCUGUGCUGCUUCCAGUCGUCCCUUCUGCGGACAGCUUUUCUUUAAAGCUCUGGCCUCGAAUCAGGUAGGACUACCCGCUGA